CCUAGGGGUGGCAGCAGUGGGGAAUAUUGGACAAUGGGCGAAAGCCUGAUCCAGCCAUGCCGCGUGUGUGAAGAAGGCCUUCGGGUUGUAAAGCACUUUCAGUGGGGAAGAAAGCCUUGGGGCUAAUACCCUCGAGGAAGGACAUCACCCACAGAAGAAGCACCGGCUAACUCCGUGCCAGCAGCCGCGGUAAUACGGAGGGUGCGAGCGUUAAUCGGAAUUACUGGGCGUAAAGCGCGCGUAGGCGGUCUGAUAAGCCGGUUGUGAAAGCCCCGGGCUCAACCUGGGAACGGCAUCCGGAACUGUCAGGCUAGAGUGCAGGAGAGGAAGGUAGAAUUCCCGGUGUAGCGGUGAAAUGCGUAGAGAUCGGGAGGAAUACCAGUGGCGAAGGCGGCCUUCUGGACUGACACUGACGCUGAGGUGCGAAAGCGUGGGUAGCAAACAGGAUUAGAUACCCUUGUAGUC
rnacentral:rRNA from 1 species